UAGUUUCUACAGUUUUGUAUAUGCACAUCACCUCAUGACCGGUUCAAGAGGGAAGGCAAAUGAUGCACGCAACCAUCACCAUCACAUUGGUAUGACAUAGAGGCCACUUGAUUCUGGGUUUGGUUAAUGUUCUUGUGUAUUGAUAUUUUUUAUGAAAUAAGUUUCCAUUAGCGUGCAUUAGGACCUUAAUAUGAAUCUCUUGUUUCUUGAUUUCAUGUGGAGCUGAUUUCUUGAACAUUUGUUGCUUAACUAGGUUCAACUUCUUGUUGGCUUUGAGAAGACCAUUAAUCACCUUGAUGACCAUUUGGUGGACAUCAGCUCAGAGAAAAUUUCAAGGCCCAAGUUAGAAAUUUAAAGGGGAAGGGAUGCCUUUUCAGUUCCACUCUUACAAAGGAGACUUACACAUCACAUUUGGGGUUUCAAGGAGCAGAAGACAAGAUUAAAGCUGUUCUUGUUUGCUUGAUGAACUUAUGUUUUCCAACUAAUUUGGGGCAAGUGAUUUUAAUGAAUUACAAAUUCUUUCA